UGUAAGUUUGUUGAUUAAGUGUGAAGAAAAACUGCACUAGACCUUAUUUUAAAUUUCAGAAAAUAGGAUAUAAGUUCAUAAAUAGCAGCAGCAGCAGACCUGACCAAAAAUACAAAUGACAACUGUCGGUGUGAUAACGAAUCAGCCAAGAGAUGGCAUGGAGAUGGGUUUGGCAUCACAACAACUUCCGACAAGUGUGGAAUAUCUCAAGGGGUUAGAUACAAUCAUUGUCAAACAGAAUAUGGACUUACGUGAAG